rnacentral:lncRNA from 1 species
CGUUAAAAACAUGUAUUAAAGAAAUAAUAAUGGGCGCCAGGUAAAUUUACCUACAAAUACCCUUAGUUAUGUGCCUAUAUCCCUAAUUUACCAAAGGACAUGGAAACAACGGAUUCAUAAAAUAGAUUUAUUCAGAACCGGUGUACUUCAUCAACAACAUAUGCAAAUCAACUGAACUAUUCAACAUAAACAAGUUUAAAAGUCAACUGGAUGGUUUGAUGACUCCUUCUGAAAAAUUCCUAUAAUAAUUAAGCGUGGGUGACGGUAGCUAUAGCAGUAGCAGUUUAUAGCAAUAUAAGAAAGCAAUGUGCAACUCUGAUCACAAGUAUCCAAAUUAUAUAUACAGUCGUGAUACCAUGAUACUCCAUAAACUAUGUUUCACAGCAUCAACACCAUUGUCCAUAAACGAAGCAAAAUUUUAGCUGAACAUAUAUAUACAUUUAUACAACGAUUAAUCUAACGUUUCAAGCAAUGCGAACACUAAUGAAUAAAAGCACAAGCAAACCUGGUAAGCGUCAACUCAAUCUGUCACUACCUACUAACGACGAGCAUGAAUCGUGUUGAAAAAUAUCAGGGCCGAAAUUAAAAUGCAUGCAACAUAGUGAGGGCGGCUUCGCGAGAGCUCAAGCGUAGGCGCACAUUAUCAUAAUCAAGCAUAAAAUAGUAAGCAUUAAAUUUCCCCUUCACAUGUAUGAUAAUAAAGUAUCAAAUAGUUUGCAUUAAAUUUCACCUAUGCAAUGAAGCAGAUACAUAAGCAUAAUAGCGUUCUAUAGAUAUUUAGGAUAAAUGAAAUCUAAACUUGCGUCUUUCCCACGGCGUUGAGUACCAGCUUCAAAGUCCUCAGAACUCGGGACACCCUGUAGUAUGCUCAAGGUCACAGUGGAAAAUCACACCGGUGGUGGUGCCUGUUGUGAUGGAUCACCCAGUUGAUGUGUGGAAUUCUGCCUCUAGGUUAGGUGCUUCCAAUGCUUGGAAUCCAGCGUAGCAGGUACGAAAAUAAAAAUUACCCAAAAAAACCCUAAAAAAAAGAAGUAUGCCUUAAAACCUUAUAUGGUUAUUUAAAUUCCCAACAGAACAGGAUUCUAACACAUUUCUGUCGGUUCACAAAACAAACAAGAAAAACAACGACAAUUAAUUUCUAAAGACGAAAGACUGCAAUUUCACCACAGCUAAACCACAGAGAACAAGCUGAGGUGGAGGGUCAGGUAAAUCUGCCCUACAGUAGUAUCUUUAUUGAAACAGAAAUGUUACACAAAUUUCAAUAAAUACAUAUAUACAAAGGUUAACUUACCCUUGCUACGGGGUUUUAUCACUUCCGUGAACUGUAGAGAAUUGCCACGUAUCACACAAGAUGGUAACAGCUUUACAGGAUCGUGUACACGUUGUACUCUGUCGUCGUACAAAAAAAAUACCACUAAAAAUCCUCUUACGAGAUCAGUUCUGAAUUGUAUUCAGAAUAACCAACCCAUCAAAUACACUAUACAGUCUACAGAACUCUUUAAUGGUGAAUUUCGAGAUUAUCCCAACUGAGGAUGAUUGAAAAAUCAUUAAACACCUCGAAUUCAACCAGCGGUUACUUUCACAAGGACACAAUCCAAACGGGAGUGAACACCUUUCGACCUAAUCAAAAAUGACAAAUCCCUACCUAUCACUUCUACACAUAGAUAGCUCACGCAUAUUCUAAAUAAUAAUUCCAAAACAAACCUAAACAUCCGAACAUUACGUAUAUUCGUGUCCUAAAUUUCUAAAUACUCGUUACUAAGAUUAUUCUAUGUACAAAUAUGUAAUCUACUAUAUAAUAUAAUGAGUUUUCUUCGAGUUACGGCUACUCAAAGAACUACAGACUCUCGUGACCUAUAAAAUACUAUCAACUAGAUUUCGAAGAAGCUAGCUAGAUGUCCGACUCGAAUCAGCUGAUCGGAACGAUGUUUACGUUCAGUGAUUUUCGAUUAAGAAAAACAAAUAAACAAAACCCUUAUGACUCUUAUUCUGCAACUACUGAAAUAAGCUCCAGUCAAACAAUCAGAGGCGGAUUCAUUGGAAUGGUAUAUCCUUUUAUUUUAAAAUUGUAUGUACAAGUGUGCUGAAUAAAUGAGAUUGAUUUCA